UACGUAGGGGGCAAGCGUUGUCCGGAAUUAUUGGGCGUAAAGAGCGCGUAGGCGGCUCUGAUCGUCGGAUGUGAAAGGCCUGGGCUCAACCUGGGAAUGGCAUCCGAUACGGCGGGGCUGGAGUGUGGGAGAGGUUGGUGGAAUUCCCAGUGUAGAGGUGAAAUUCGUAGAUAUUCGCAAGAACACCAGUGGCGAAGGCGGCUUACUGGUCCGGUUCUGACGCUGAGGUGCGAAAGCGUGGGGAGCAAACAGG
rnacentral:rRNA from 1 species